GUGGCUUCCCCUAUCUCCCGCUCAGCCACCUCCUCCCCCUACCCACCCUUCCUCUCCAUCGCCGGAUCCGAUUACAAAUCGUCAAGGUUAGGCGACGGAGCUCCAUGUCCGUGGCGCACGCGUGCUCAUCAAGGAAGCGGCCCCCGGAUCUUGCGCUCGCGCGGCCGUGACGGAGGGGAUCGAGGUGGCCGCCACCGCCGCCGAAGACCAAGCCCCCACCUUGUCCAGAAUCACUUCCGCCGCCAUGUUCCACCAAGGAAGGAGGGGGCGGCUCAAAGUCUCCCUCGCUGCCAGCUCCAGAUGCAGCCGUCGCCAUGGGUGAGCGCCUCAUACACGACGAGUUUUGAUGGAUUCGUGUAGUGACAUCUCGAUCCCGAAGCCAAGUAUGUUUUCUUUUCCUCUGAGAUCUCACCCCGAAGCAACAGCAAGUCUUACAUUAUGGAGCACGCGGCCGCUACCCUUUCUAGCAUUAGUUUGCAUUCACGUACCAUCUACAUUGGUACUUAUUGCUUGUGAGGAUUCUUCCACUAGACAUUCUCACAAGCGGUGGCAAGGAUUUAUAAAUUAUGCAUUCCGAUUAAUUGGAAUAUAUCCCACAUAUAAUCCAUGUUUCUUAGUUUAUUGGCCAAAGGUGCUUGCUCAAUGGUCCGUUCGAGAUAGUUGCAGGUUUGGUACAUUUUAUCACUUUUUGUGCGCUGUGGGCUUGCUACAAAUUUAUUGGAAAAGGGAAUACUUUCUCUUGUAUUUACAGCACCAGUCGUCGGAGUUGCAAUUGCAGGUAACCAUGUGUGUCUUCAUCUUCAGUUAAUAAUCAUGGAGAAACACUUCCCUUUGCUCGCUCGCUGUAACAGGUACUUUGUCGUUUGGCUUGCUAGCUUAUUUCUAUUUUCUUGGUAUUUUCUCUUUUCUGGCCACAAAUCUUUUACAUGUGGUGCGUUGUAUAUCUAUUACAGGCACAAAAACUGAACAAUCAUAAAAAAUACAAUAAAUAACUCGUGCCAAAUCCAGGUGGUGUACAAAGCCCAGUUACAGGCACAAAAACUGAACAAUCAUAAAAAAUACAAUAAAUAUCUCGAUCCCGAAGCCAAGUAUGUUUUGUUUCCCUCUGAGAUCUCACCCUGGAUCAACCAAUAGCUAGAGAUCCGAAUGAGAAUAGGUUUAUUUACCUUACUAAGGUCUUCAAAUCAUAGUCCCUCCGUUUUUAAAUAUAAGUCUUUUUAGAUAUUUCAAUACGGACUACAUAUGGAUGGAGGGAGUAGUUCAGUAGAGGAAAAUACCACGUCACUUGUAAUGGAAUUUCACGUGUCAAACAUAUAUGUGUACUGACUACAUGCCCCUGCAAGUGUGUUGAUUCUCAUGUCAAUUUAGUAAUUGUAGUUAUAUCCCAGGUUCAUUUACAUCUGCAGACUACAUGCAGUUGCUUGUUCAUAAACUAUGUUUAGGCGUUUGUUUGUUUUCCUCCAGCUUUGCACUAAAUUAGUACUAUCCCUGAGUGAAGAUAACGUUUCCAGUAAGAGAAUUGACAAUACUGACAAUGACGUGAUAUUUCAUAGCGUUGUCAAUGUCAGCUUCGUCGUCGAAGAACCUUCCGACGCAAUUUUCCGCUGGCAUGUCCCAUUGAAUGUCAUUGCUUUUAUCAUGGCAUCCAACACUUGCAGAUGUGACUCAAAAGGGGGUUCUGAAGCUGAUGAACUUGGAUGGCCUGACAGUCUACCAUACCAACAACCAUCUCCAAGUACACAAACUUGAAAACUUUCUAAGAUUCGUACACACCUUCAGGACAAAGAGGAGAUAAAUUAAGUAUUGGAAAGCUUAAAACCAGCCACCCAGAACCACUCUGCCUGGAGAAAGAAGACAAUAUUUGGCAUGAUUUGCUUCAUCUACUACAGGUGACUCCGUCAGGACACCAGGAACAUGAUUGCAGUCCAGGAUACCAUACUGCAACCUCAAUCCAUCGAAUGAGCUCGGUCAAAAAUCACCUAAGAAAAAUAUGUCGUUCUU